GCCUCAGUGGUGUAGAGGUUAUCAUACCUGGUUCAAUUAAUUACUGUCAACACUGUCGAAUGUGAGAGCAGGUGACAUGGGUUUGAUUCCCUUCUGAGGCA